UACGUAGGGUGCAAGCGUUAAUCGGAAUUACUGGGCGUAAAGCGUGCGCAGGCGGUUUUGUAAGUCAGAUGUGAAAUCCCCGGGCUUAACCUGGGAACUGCGUUUGAAACUACAAGGCUAGAGUGUGGCAGAGGGGGGUGGAAUUCCACGUGUAGCAGUGAAAUGCGUAGAUAUGUGGAGGAACACCGAUGGCGAAGGCAGCCCCCUGGGUUAACACUGACGCUCAGGCACGAAAGCGUGGGGAGCAAACAGG
rnacentral:rRNA from 1 species